AUACGGAGGAUGCGAGCGUUAUCCGGAUUUAUUGGGUUUAAAGGGUGCGUAGGCUGUGCGUUAAGUCAGGGGUGAAAUGCCGUCGCUCAACGACGGAGCUGCCCUUGAUACUGGCGUGCUGGAGUAAGGAUGCCGUUGGAGGAAUGAGUGGUGUAGCGGGGAAAUGCUUAGGUAUCACUCAGAACACCGAUUGCGAAGGCAUCUGACGAAUCCGUCACUGACGCUGAGGCACGAAAGCGUGGGGAUAGAACAGGAUUAGAUACCCUGGUAUUCCACGCCGUAAACGAUGAUGACUAACCGUCGGCGAUAGACAGCCGGUGGCCAAGCGAAAGCGAUAAGUCAUCCACCUGGGGAGUACGGCGGCAACGAUGAAACUCAAAUGAAUUGACGGGG
rnacentral:rRNA from 1 species